UUUUUUAUUGUUUACUUGAGAUAAUAAUAAUAAUAACACUAAUAAUUUAUUUUUUCUCUAUUUUUUCAUGUAUUUUUCUCCUGAGUCAAAUCCACUCAACUUCAGUUUGAUUGAUAUUAUCUCAAGUAAACAAUAAAAAAAGUUUUCUGAAAAUUUAUCAAAACGCAGUUGUCUGUUUUUGCAAAUGAACUCUUCAUAUAUUGUUAUAGAUUUAUGUUCAAUUCACUGAUGUGUGAUAUCGAGAACAUUUAUACUCCAGUGAUACUUUAGCGGGUCAGUAAAUUAGCUGUACCCUGCUGCUGUGUUAGCUAAUGCUAGCAUUCUGCUAGUGGGGCUUUCCUUGAGCUGUUAAUUAUCAGACCAAUUGGUAGCUUGAACUUGGACAAGUCAGUUAGUAGUUUGCGGGCGGGACUCUCUUAGUUUAGUAUCGUAGCUUAAUGUUGUGUAUUCAUGUAGCAUAUUGGCGCUGACUUAAGUGUAGUUAUUCCAUAACAUUAGCUCUUUAUAGCAGCAAGCUGGGCCGGCGUUUCUCUUCAGACAACUUCGGGCACGCCCAUUUAUACAUGAGUGUUGGUUUGCAUGCCUGUGGGCGCGCACAGUUCAUGUGGUCACACUUUUGGAUUGUCCUCAUGGCCACAGGUAAUGUGAGAGGGAAGGUUGAUUAUGUUUUAACUGUGUUGCUUCCAGGAUACGUGAAUUAACUGCCGCCUGCGUUGUUUUCAAUAUACUCAACGUUAAGAGGGAGAGAACAGAGGGUGUGUGCGGCACAUGUACACACCGAUCGGUUGUAGUGAGGGAGAGGGAGUAUAUGGUGUGCGGUGUCUCGGUGGCAGGGCUGCUGUCGUAUUUACGCUGCACAUGGAAGCAGUAGUGAUGACUGUUCACUGUGUGAAGGGUGUCCCAGCUUCGUGUUGUGCCAUCUCCGUCCCUGUAUUCGGACCAGCCAAAAAAAUUUCCUUGUCCUUAAUAUUAAUGGAUUUGUAAUUUUCUUAUAUUUUUUUCAUGACUGGUGGUGGUUACUUCAGGCCAGCACACAGCUCAACUAAGGUAAGUUGCACUCCCAAAAUAGAAUAGAGUGCUACAGACCAGACUGAAAUGUGGCUGUAUGCAAGUUCCAUGAUGGUGUAUUGAAGUGAAAAAAAAUAUUGGAAAAAAUAAAAGUAACGUCAACUGUUACAAUAAUGGUGAAAUGCCGGUGAUUGUUUACAGGCCUGUUUCAGCAUGAACUGUACCAACGUUUAAUGUGCAGUUUUGCCAAAAUGAAUUACAAUUUUGUAAUUCAGCAAUUAAAAACAUGCACAAACAAAUGGACAAACACGUCAUACACAAUCACACUGGUAUAAUCAGCACAACUCAGUCUUUGUAGAAUGGAGGACAAACAUCUAUAAGUCAAAAUUUGAGAUUAUAGAAAAAGUAUAACACUAUUAAACUUUGAAAAUAGAGCUGUCAGAUUUUUUGUUGGCCCAUCACACUUCCAGUAUGAGUCUGAAUACAUAUAUUUCAUUUGUUUAAGUACAUAGAUGCAGAUGAACACUGUAAACAUCAUGAAAGACACACAUACAUAAUAUGAUUGCACAAACUAACUACAUAUCUUUAACCCUCAGGACUUCUGUACUCCAGAGCUUCCUGUCAUUGCAGUCAACCUCUCCAGAGGUGUCUGCUGAUGACAACAGGAUUACAUGACCUCUGGUUGGGACCUUGAUCAGUUUCACAACUUUUGGCUUGGUGUCCAAUGUGACUGCUCCCCCCACCCGAUCUGCUGUAUUGUACUACCUCAAGAGUGACAGCCCUGUGUGGAGGAAUGACAGGCAGCUCAUUUUAUCUGUGAACCUGCAUCUGCUUUAACUUCAACAGUAAGUAAAUAAGCCCAAACAAAUUCUUUGCUUUGUGUUAGGGAUGGGCAAUAUGGCAAAAAUGUCACAUCACGAUUUUGUUCAUGUUAUCCUAAGUUGACAUCUACUCUCAUAUCACCAUAUCGAUAUAUUCUAAUAUUGCUGAACCCUACUCUGCGUUUUUCUCCAAUUGAUUUAUAUAUGCCCAGUGUAACUCAGGUUUCACCAGUAAAGCCCAUCUCUUUGUUCCUCCAGUGUUGUACUUCAUGUGGAGAUGCAAGGACUGUGGGACAGCAUUAUCAAAAAGAUCUGAACUGCUCAAGCACUACAAACUGAUUCAUAGGCAUUACGGACGGGGCUACUCAUAUCCAUGCACUUAUUUAAAUUGGGCAUGUAGGUUCAAGACUUGGAAUGCCCUACUGAGCCAUCUAUCAAGAAAUCACCCUGCCCAACAAGCAGUCCCCAAUAUAUGUUGUAUGUAAUAUAGGUUAUGUUGUAUACAGGAUGAGACCAGUAAUUUUUUUUUUCCAUAAUACAAUAUCUAUUGUCAUUUGUGUUUUCUUUUUAGAUUAAUACAGAGUUCCAGAGGCUCAUGGCUGUUCCUCUUGAGAAGUUCAUGGCACAGUUAGACAUGCACUCAAGUCAGCUGAUCAAAGUCAUCCAUGUCAAAGGAGGAGCAACACGCCAAAAGACUUCAGAUGUCAUGGACACUUUGGACCAGAUAGAUCUGUACCAUGAAACGAAACCCUUCAUAACUAAGAGGGCUGUCACAAUAUAUCUGUAGCCUUCAUAAAUACAUUAAUAUGGGCAGGCCAAUGCUGAUCGUGGCUUUCAUAUACAUGAAUGUUUUUAGCGACUCAAACACUACACUGAGCUCAUCCCUUUUUUUUUUUUAUCUGGGCUUGUAAAUGGCUAUUUCUAAAUAAAGUGCAAAAGUUAAGCUAUAAGAGUAAGGAUGUCUGUCUCGUGAAAUUUAGAACAAUAAAAUUAAUCGUUUGUUGUUCUAGACUGUGGACACUAAUCUUCGGAGAGAAUGUGUGCUGAAAGCCCUCACCAUCUUCAUGGGAGAAGAUGUAAAUGACCUCAUCAAGGAAUAUCUUGACUCUGGAACAGAUGAUACACAGAGGGAGCUGGAGCAGCUCACCAUGGCAGUGUUUGUCAUUCGGAAGGAGGGGGAAGGACUUCAGGAGCCACCUGAAGACAUUGGCAUCGUCAUUGACAGUGCGGAAGUACUGCAUGAACUGACUUCGGUUGCCUCAGCUUGUGCCCUGCUUUUAGGUUUGAUUUAUGCACUAAACCUAGCUUAUCCAAAACCCCUUCGGUUCACUUUUGAAGUACUCAAAAAAAUCCUGAUGCAGCUUGAUCAGCAUAAGAUGUCCCCCAAAGUCUAUAAUCUGUAUAGCAAACUUCAAAGCUCACAGUAACGACACACUACGAUGGAUUCCUCCUCUGGGCCAACAAACGGCCUAGUGCCAUACUGUGAAAGAACAAAUGUUUUUGUACAUAAUGCAUUUAAAAAACGUGUCUCUUUCGGUUGUUGGGCCUUAUUUUAAUGCUCGACGAGACUCAACAAAUGUUCCUGAAAACCACAA